UCACGCGUGAAGUCUGUGUGACCACCAGCACCUGCUUCCUCAGAACGACGUGUACUAUGUGACCACCAGACUUCAGUGUCCGGGUAUAAGAAGGAUCCACAAAAAGAACAAGGCCCUGAUCUGCGAAGGCUGGACCCCCUCAGUGGUGCCAGAACAGGGACCUGAGUACUGGGGAUUGGCAUUGACGGGAGAAGAACCCUCGCAGAGGCUGGCGUCUUUUGUGUGCAGCAUUACGAUUCAUGAGCACAUGAACAGGUGUGGCCCGUACUAAAGGCUCUCUAUGAGACCGGGCCGCCCCCGAACCUGCACCGUUAUAGACCAGGAGACUGGGUGUACGUCCGCCACCACCAGCACCAGACACUGCAGCCACGCUGGAAAGGGCCCUACGUUGUCGUCCUAACCACGCCCACCGCACUCAAGUUAGACGGCAUCGUCCCGUGGAUCCACUAUACCCACGUCCGACCGGUUGAGCCUUUUGCAGUGCUGCAGGACUACGUGCCAAAAUGGAAGAGCAAACAGGACAAGGACAAUCCUCUAAAGCUAAGAUUGUGCCGUUCUCAUGUAUUUCCAGAAAGCUAAUGACAUGUAUAACAUGCUUUUUAUACAAUGCCAUAGUACUAACCUCCGGGGCCUCAUACAAACCCCAUCAACCUCUCAAUUUAACAUGGCAGGUUUUAGCCAUCAAGUCAGGAAUUAACAAAAUUAUUUUCCAAACUUCCAACCUCGCUCCCCUCAAUACUUGGUUCCCAGCCCUAACCUGUGACCUAAAAGACAUGUACUCCUAUCCUGACUGGGCUGGUGCGGUGACUAAAGUAAUUUCUAAGCUAGGCUACAACAGACAGUAUCAAUUCUAUGUAUGCCCCGCCCAUGACCAAGAUGAGGCGUGUUCAGACUCCGGUCAGUACUAUUGCCCAGCAUGGUCCUGUGUCUCCACAGGCAACAUACCCUGGACCCCUGCCAAAACCAAUGACUUAAUCACUGUGCAGAGAAACCCCUCGGGUUACAGAAAAGGGCCUUGUCAGAUACAAGGUGGGUUUGUAACACCCGCCAUCUCCUACUGUGACCCCCUCAUAAUAAACUUCACCCCAGCUGGGCGACAAGUUACAGACUGGACAGUUGGAAAAAUGUGGGGAAUCAGAUUAUACGACAACCCUAGGGCAGGAUGGCGUGACCUAGGAAGUCUCUUCAUGAUUAGACUAAUAGUCCAAAACCCCAGCAUCAUUAUAGAACCCAACCAAGCUGUUAU